UGGCCUUAUUUAGAUUUUUUUUUUAUUUUAACACUGUAACACUUUUGUUUUAUUUGACAAAUAUUGUUCAAUUAUAGAGUAACUAUCGCGAUUUAUAGGUAAUAUAUUUAAUUUUUAUCUGUAUUUAAUGCUUCAUACAUGUGCCGCAAACUUCGAUGUGACAGAAAAUCUUAAAAAAAUUUUGUUUUUGAGGUGAACUAAAUAAGGCCUAUCUCAAGAUGAAAUCAAGGCCUGGCACUGACAGCAGAUGUGAUAGUUCCAACAACAAUGGUAAUUCUGAGAAAAGCAGUGCUUGGACGUACAUGUAAUUUCUGGUAAUAAUUCUGAGAAAGCCGUGUUUGGACGCACACGUAAUUCUGG
rnacentral:lncRNA from 1 species